GACGAACGCUGGCGGCGUGCUUAACACAUGCAAGUCGAACGGAAAGGCCCUGCUUUUGUGGGGUGCUCGAGUGGCGAACGGGUGAGUAACACGUGAGUAACCUGCCCUUGACUUUGGGAUAACUUCAGGAAACUGGGGCUAAUACCGGAUAGGAGCUCCUGCUGCUAGGUGGGGGUUGGAAAGUUUCGGCGGUUGGGGAUGGACUCGCGGCUUAUCAGCUUGUUGGUGGGGUAGUGGCUUACCAAGGCGUUGACGGGUAGCCGGCCUGAGAGGGUGACCGGCCACAUUGGGACUGAGAUGGGGCCCAGACUCCUACGGGAGGCAGCAGUGGGGAAUAUUGCACAAUGGGCGGAAGCCUGAUGCAGCGUCGCCGCGUGCGGGAUGACGGCCUUCGGGUUGUAACCCGCUUUCGCCUGUGACGAAGCGUGAGUGACGGUAAUGGGUAAAGAAGCACCGGCUAACUACGUG
rnacentral:rRNA from 1 species